UUGGACUUUUUCCUGACAGACUCAAUAUAUCUAUCUAUAUUUGUAUCUCUGCAACUAGGGACACUCCAAGAGUAUGAAGAGCAGUGACACUUCAUACACAUAUUUAGAGUUUGUGAAUGAGGCCCAAAACACUCCAUUUCUUCACUCUGCAUCUACUUCAGAAGAACAAAUACCAUGUAUCACGAGGUCUCACUGUUGUAAAGAGGCAGCGGGAGUCAGCACCGUCUUCACAGCUGCGUGGCAGCCCAGCUGCAGGAGCGCAGGGUGACCACAGCUCCAUGCCAGGACCAGGCUAGUGUGGUCUCCCAGGGGCAGGAGAGGCCCUCACGAGAGAGAAAACCCCAUGCCUUCCUUUUCUUUAGCCUCCUGGAAUAAUCUUGUAAAAUAUUUAUAUUCUUUUUCAGAGACUGCCCACAUUAGAGUAACUACCAAAAAGCAUCUUCUGCUCAACAUCAGCAAUCGAAUACACGCUUAAGCUAAAAUCAGGAGCCCAGAAGACACAUAUUGGGCCAGGAAUGUUCCUCUUAACACCAGGGGAAAGGGAGGGCAAAUUUGUAAAUGAAAC